GACGAACGCUGGCGGCGUGCUUAACACAUGCAAGUCGAACGGAAAGGCCCUGCUUUUGUGGGGUGCUCGAGUGGCGAACGGGUGAGUAACACGUGAGUAACCUGCCCUUGACUUUGGGAUAACUUCAGGAAACUGGGGCUAAUACCGGAUAGGAGCUCCUGCUGCAUGGUGGGGGUUGGAAAGUUUCGGCGGUUGGGGAUGGACUCGCGGCUUAUCAGCUUGUUGGUGGGGUAGUGGCUUACCAAGGCUUUGACGGGUAGCCGGCCUGAGAGGGUGACCGGCCACAUUGGGACUGAGAUACGGCCCAGACUCCUACGGGAGGCAGCAGUGGGGAAUAUUGCACAAUGGGCGGAAGCCUGAUGCAGCAACUCCGCGUGCGGGAUGACGGCCUUCGGGUUAUAAACCGCUUUCGCCUGUGACGAAGCGUGAGUGACGGUAAUGGGUAAAGAAGCACCGGCUAACUACGUG
rnacentral:rRNA from 1 species